AGACCCUGCCUUAGGAGGCCCAUCUAAAGAUCAUUGCAAGAAGGACAAAUAUCACAGCAGGAGGGAAGAGCACGAACAACCUGGAAUGAAGAAAGCUAGGCAGCCUGUUGUGAACCCACCAGGCACCUCAGAUGAUAUCGAGACUUCCUUUGGAGGCUCAUCUCAAGG